UAUAAGCAGUAGAAGGUUUUAAGAAACCACAGGCAGCUUAGUUGAUCAUAGUUCAACAUCAAUAUCUUCUUUUCUGUUCUGCUGAGUAAAACAUUUUGUAGAGCUGCACUGCCCCGAUCAUCUUGAUAAGUGAAUAAUGUCAGCCUCUACACUUCUGGAUAAACCAUGGAGGGAGCUACGCUGGGA